rnacentral:tRNA from 1 species
GAGACCGUAGCUCAGGUGGUAGAGCAGCAGAAACUCCAGUGCCGACUCCUUGCCCGAUCACGGGCCGCAGGCACCGGGUUAUCGAUAACCUGCCGGUCGUGGGUUCGAGUCCCACCGGUCUCC